rnacentral:tRNA from 1 species
GUGGAUGUAGCUCAGUGGUAGAGCUCCGGAUUGUGGCUCCGGUGGUCGUGGGUUCGAUCCCCAUCAUCCACCCCA